ACAUAAAAAGCGAGGAAAUUUGCGUGUGGUUUCGGCCCAUAUAUUGGGGGUGUGAGUCCCCCUUUAUGUU
rnacentral:tRNA from 1 species